UUAUCUUUAUCAUAUUCAACAUGUAAAUCUAAAGUGACAGGGCAUAUAGUUCGAGUAAAGUCCUCCAAUGGCAACCACGUACUGGACGACACAGUGUUGGUAGGACCGCUACAAGAUUGACUGACGAUCUGGUCAAGUUCGCCGGAAUACGUUGGAUGAGGGCAGCGAAAAACCGAGCGUCGUGGAGACCUUUGGUCUAGCGGUGGAUGUCUUCCGGCUGAUGAUGAAAGGCCGGCAACGUAUCUAUUGAUCUCCGAUAUUGCGGAUGUCCAUGAGUGCAUUAUAUCCUCCACCUGCUCGGUCGAACGAUUACUCCCAUAACUAUAUCUUGGUAUUAUACAAUGAAUACUCUAUACAACUUACAGUGUACUCGUUAGUUAUCUAUCCAUAGUGUUUAUAUUUCUGAUGAACGACUGUGCACUGAAAAAGCUCCCAGUUCAAUAGCUUAUCAUGUUCUGAUGUAUUGAUCGCCGGAGGUUCGAGCCGCUCUUCGUUGUAAGAUGUCAAAAGGAUGAAGCUAGUACUGGAGAGCGUGGGUCCAGAGCCGGAAGACGUCCACUGCUGGAUAAAAGUUUCCCCCAAAGAUCACCAUGACAAUCGGUCCUGCGCUGCCAUCACCCAACAUACUCCGGCGAUCUUGAAGAAAUCGUCGGUCCAUUUUCAGGGCUACCUAAACUAUGUCUUCCGAUAAUAUGAAAAGAUCA